UGAGGAAUAUUGGACAAUGGGUGGGAGCCUGAUCCAGCCAUUCCGCGUGCAGGAAGAAGGUCUUAUGGAUUGUAAACUGCUUUUAUAUAGGGAUAAACCUACUCUCGAGAGGGUAGCUGAAGGUACUAUAUGAAUAAGCACCGGCUAACUCCGUGCCAGCAGCCGCGGUAAUACGGAGGGUGCAAGCGUUAUCCGGACUUAUUGGGUUUAAAGGGUCCGUAGGCGGGUUAUUAAGUCAGUGGUGAAAUCUCAUAGCUCAACUAUGAAACUGCCAUUGAUACUGAUAGUCUUGAGUAUAUUUGAAGUAGCUGGAAUAAGUAGUGUAGCGGUGAAAUGCAUAGAUAUUACUUAGAACACCAAUAGCGAAGGCAGGUUACUAAGAUAUUACUGACGCUGAGGGACGAGAGCGUAGGGAGCGAACAGG
rnacentral:rRNA from 1 species